rnacentral:rRNA from 1 species
AGCAGCCGCGGUAAUUCCAGCUCCAAUAGCGUAUAUUAAAGUUGUUGCAGUUAAAAAGCUCGUAGUUGAAUUUCGGGGUCAGUAGGUUGGUCGUGCCACAGGUAUGUACUGGUCUCACUGAUUCCUCCUUCCUGAUGAACCGUAAUGCCAUUAAUUUGGUGUUGCGGGGAAACUGGACUGUUACUUUGAAAAAAUUAGAGUGUUUAAAGCAGGCUAACGCUUGAAUACAUUAGCAUGGAAUAAUGAAAUAGGACGUUGAUCUUAUUUUGUUGGUUUCUAGGAUUGACGUAAUGAUUAAUAGGGAUAGUUGGGGGCAUUAGUAUUCAAUUGUCAGAGGUGAAAUUCUUGGAUUUAUUGAAGACUAACUACUGCGAAAGCAUUUGCCAAGGAUGUUUUCAUUAAUCAAGAACGAAAGUUAGGGGAUCGAAGACGAUCAGAUACCGUCGUAGUCUUAACCAUAAACUAUGCCGACUAGGGAUCGGAUGAUGUUAAUUUUUAAUGACUCAUUCGGCGCCUUACG